rnacentral:rRNA from 1 species
UACGGGGGGAGCAAGCGUUGUUCGGAUUUACUGGGCGUAAAGGGCGCGUAGGCGGCCACCGCAAGUCGACUGUGAAAUCUCCGGGCUUAACCCGGAGCGGCCAAGUGAUACUGUUGUGCUAGAGUGCGGAAGGGGCUACUGGAAUUCUCGGUGUAGCGGUGAAAUGCGUAGAUAUCGAGAGGAACACCCGCGGCGAAGGCGGGUAGCUGGGCCGACACUGACGCUGAGGCGCGAAAGCCAGGGGAGCGAACGGG